UACUAGAGUAGCACUCGCAUAUCAAUAAGCGGAGGAAAAGAAACUAACAAGGAUUCCCCUAGUAACGGCGAGUGAAGCGGGAAGAGCUCAAAUUUGAAAUCUUAAAGGGUUUCCCUUUACGAAUUGUAGUUUAAAGAAGUGUUUUCUGUUGAGGUUUUGGUAAAAGUUCUUUGGAAUAGGACAUCAUAGAGGGUGAGAAUCCCGUAUUUGACCUUUACUUUCAACUUUGUGAUACACUUUCAAAGAGUCGGAUUGUUUGGGAAUGCAGUCCAAAAUGGGUGGUAAAUUUCAUCUAAAGCUAAAUAUUGGCGAGAGACCGAUAGCGAACAAGUACCGUGAGGGAAAGAUGAAAAGAACUUUGAAAAGAGAGUUAAACAGUACGUGAAAUUGUCAAAAGGGAAGCGUUUGACACCAGUGUUGUUUUUCUGAAAAUCAAUUAAAGAACUGUUUAUGCUAAGCUGUUUAGACUUUAUCAGCUAUCUGUUUAGUUUUGAGCUUUUCUUUAAUGCACUUUUCAGUUAACAAGUCAACAUCAAUUUCUUUUGCUGUAAAAAAGCUUGAGGAAGGUGGCUUGAGAUUCGUCUUAAGUGUUUAGUAGCCUCUUGCCUAUGCAGUCGGAGAGAUUGAGGUCUGCAGCGUAGAUCCUUCGGGGCUAAAUGCAUUUAUGCUAAGUUAUAGCAUUUUAUAGACAACUUGUUGACUAUGAUUUGUCUUGUAGCUUACUCGCUUAUGUUAUUUUACCUACGCUUAGGAUGUUGAACUACUGAGACAUAGA
rnacentral:rRNA from 1 species